rnacentral:rRNA from 1 species
AUUGAACGCUGGCGGCAGGCCUAACACAUGCAAGUCGAACGGUAACAGGAAGAAGCUUGCUUCUUUGCUGACGAGUGGCGGACGGGUGAGUAAUGUCUGGGAAACUGCCUGAUGGAGGGGGAUAACUACUGGAAACGGUAGCUAAUACCGCAUAACGUCGCAAGACCAAAGAGGGGGACCUUCGGGCCUCUUGCCAUCGGAUGUGCCCAGAUGGGAUUAGCUAGUAGGUGGGGUAACGGCUCACCUAGGCGACGAUCCCUAGCUGGUCUGAGAGGAUGACCAGCCACACUGGAACUGAAACACGGUCCAGACUCCUACGGGAGGCAGCAGUGGGGAAUAUUGCACAAUGGGCGCAAGCCUGAUGCAGCCAUGCCGCGUGUAUGAAGAAGGCCUUCGGGUUGUAAAGUACUUUCAGCGGGGAGGAGGGGAGUAAAGUUAAUACCUUUGCUCAUUGACGUUACCCGCAGAAGAAGCACCGGCUAACUCCGUG